CACUGUGCCCCCAUCCACUUUCCCCCAAUAAAAACCCCUUCCACCCAAGCUCUGUUGAAUGGCAUCUUUCUCUCAUGUGCUGCUUUUUAAAAUUACAACAGUCUGAGGAGACAGUGAGACAGGAACCAACAUCAGGGACAAAGCUGACCACCCGACUAGAAGGGACUGCCCUGGAAAAGCCUGCUGUCUGGAGAACAAAGCAAAUCUUGAAUCAAGACACUUCUCAGACACCGUGGUGGAAAUAUCAGGUGAGCAGGUUUCAGCAAAGAGGAGAGACGUCCCCUGGGGCCUCAGAGUCUACCUGAUGACCUUCUUAGCUUUCAGUUUUCUUUACAGAGAAGCCACAUUCCCUGAGUGGCUCUUUGGUACCAUCAAUCCUGGAGUUUUCCCAGUGACCCCAGGACUACCUAGGGCUGCCUAAAGGUGAAGCGGUGGUUACGUGGUAAAAUCGUCUGGAGAGCUCUCAGCGCGGGGGCAGGCAAUAGCGGGUGCUGAAGAAAGGCAGCCAGGCAGCAAGAGAGAUUGACUCAGUGGGUGAAGACUGAUGACGACCCGAGUUACUGCCCCGCAACUCCCUCAAGCUGUCCCCUGGCCUCGACGUGAGCACUGUGGCAUGUGUGAGCCUCUACCCUCAAAGGCUACGUUAAUGUUAUAAAAAAAAUAGUCAAUGUUAUUAACCUUGGUUGGGAGAUUCCUAAUGUAGCUCUGGGAAGUCCUAGAGGCUUGUAUAAAUCACACACACACAAAUAUUUUUUUUAAAAUCACAGCUCCUAUCCAUUUUUCUUCUGUCAUUUUCUUCUAAAAAAAACUUUUGUCACUAAUUUGUGGGUGAUGUAUGUGCACUUUAUUUUCUUUCUUUUAUUUUUUUAUUUUAUCUUACUUUCUUGAGACUAGGUCUCGUGUACCCUAGGCUGACCUGGGACCCACGAUGGGGCUGAGGAUAACCUUAAACUUCUGGUCUUCCUACCUCUGUCUCCCAAGUGCUGAGAAGGAAGUGACUACAUGCUCAGCUAGGCUUAAUUCUCACCAAUAAAGUAUCUUAUACGCA